UACGAAGGGGGCUAGCGUUGCUCGGAAUCACUGGGCGUAAAGCGCACGUAGGCGGGUCGUUAAGUCAGGGGUGAAAUCCUGGAGCUCAACUCCAGAACUGCCCUUGAUACUGGCGAUCUCGAGUUCGGGAGAGGUGAGUGGAACUGCGAGUGUAGAGGUGAAAUUCGUAGAUAUUCGCAAGAACACCAGUGGCGAAGGCGGACUCACUGGCCCGGAUACUGACGCUGACGGUGCGAAAGCGUGGG
rnacentral:rRNA from 1 species